AGCGAACGCUGGCGGCAGGCCUAACACAUGCAAGUCGAACGAACUCUUCGGAGUUAGUGGCGGACGGGUGAGUAACCCGUGGGAACGUGCCUUUUGGUUCGGAAUAACUCAGGGAAACUUGUGCUAAUACCGAAUGUGCUCCUCGGGGGAAAGAUUUAUCGCCAUUAGAGCAGCCCGCGACCGAUUAGCUUGUUGGUGAGGUAACGGCUCAUGACGGCGACGAUCAGUAGCUGGGUAGAGAGGAUGACCAGCCACACUGGGACUGGGACACGGCCCGGACUCCUACGGGAGGCGGCAGUGGGGAAUCUUGCGCAAUGGGCGAAAGCCAGACGCAGCCAUGCCGCGUGAAUGAUGAAGGUCUGAGGAUAGUAAAAUUCUUUCACCGGGGGCUAUAAUGACGGUACCCGGAGAAGAAGCCCCGGCUAACUUCGUG
rnacentral:rRNA from 1 species